rnacentral:rRNA from 1 species
CAGUAGCCGCGGUAAAACGAAGGGUGCAAGCGUUACUCGGAAUUACUGGGCGUAAAGCGUGCGUAGGUGGUGGUUUAAGUCCGUUGUGAAAGCCCUGGGCUCAACCUGGGAAUUGCAGUGGAUACUGGGUCACUAGAGUGUGGUAGAGGAUAGUGGAAUUUCCGGUGUAGCAGUGAAAUGCGUAGAGAUUGGAAGGAACAUCUGUGGCGAAGGCGACUAUCUGGGCCAACACUGACACUGAGGCACGAAAGCGUGGGGAGCAAACAGGAUUAGAUACCCCAGUAGUCCCUGUCUCUUAUAC